rnacentral:misc_RNA from 1 species
UGGUUUUUGUAAGUAUUGGGAGAAGAUAUAGCAGAAUAAAGAGCAGAAGAAGACGACGACGACGAAGAAGAAGAGGAAGGCUGUUUUGAUGUGUUGUUUGCGGUAUUAGGAGUAGCGUUGUUGGUUAAGUUUCUGUCAUAGAUAUGGUUAAAGUUAACGGAGGAAUACUUGUUGGUCCUUGCCAUCCACAACAACAACCCCCACCACCGCCACAGACAACCGCACUGGGGUUCUU